UUAAAAUCCCUAAUUUUGUAUGGUUGUUUGAAAUUGUUAGGUUUGAUGAGUAAUCUUUGAUUUGUGAUGAGUAAAUUCGUUUUGAGUUGGGUAUAUGGAUGGAAUUGAGUGAUAGAUUGAGAAGCCACUUGUUUUAUUAAAUUCCAUUACAGUACAGGUAACGUUAAGAAAAAUUCCAGUUUUAGGCUGAGUAACCGGUUACCCCAAAGGUGUUAACCGAUUACAUGCGAAACAUGAGCCAGGAAUUUAAUUUUGUUUACUGAGUAACCGGUUACUCUAAAAGCGUUAACCGGUUACCAUGUUAAAAAUCUGCCCAAUAUUGAAUUAUGUAAACUGAGUAACGGGUUACUCUAAAAGCGUUAACGGGUUACUUAGUUAAAAAUCUGCCCAGAAUUGUAUUCUGUUUUCAGGGUAACGGGUUACUCUAAAAGCGUUAACGGGUUACUUAGUUAAAAAUCUGCCCAGAAUUGUAUUCUGUUUUCAGGGUAACGGGUUACUCUAAAAGCGUUAACGGGUUACUUAGUUAAAAAUCUGCCCAGAAUUGUAUUCUGUUUUCAGGGUAACGGGUUACUCUAAAAGCGUUAACGGGUUACUUAGUUAAAAAUCUGCCCAGAAUUGUAUUCUGUUUUCAGGGUAACGGGUUACUCUAAAAGCGUUAACGGGUUACUUAGUUAAAAAUCUGCCCAGAAUUGUAUUCUGUUUUCAGGGUAACGGGUUACUCUAAAAGCGUUAACGGGUUACUUAGUUAAAAAUCUGCCCAGAAUUGUAUUCUGUUUUCAGGGUAACGGGUUACUCUAAAAGCGUUAACGGGUUACUUAGUUAAAAAUCUGCCCAGAAUUGUAUUCUGUUUUCAGGGUAACNGUUUUAUUAAAUUCCAUUACAGUACAGGUAACGUUAAGAAAAAUUCCAGUUUUAGGCUGAGUAACCGGUUACCCCAAAGGUGUUAACCGAUUACAUGCGAAACAUGAGCCAGGAAUUUAAUUUUGUUUACUGAGUAACCGGUUACUCUAAAAGCGUUAACCGGUUACCAUGUUAAAAAUCUG
rnacentral:lncRNA from 1 species